UCCUCAAGCUGACGUAGAUUGCUUCUCCUCCUUCCUCUUUGUGCUGUGCAAACACCAGCAAGCCAGAGGAGAAGUCAGGGCAGCCGUCGCACGCCGAAGAGCCACCACCAGCCGUCAUUUGCCACCUCCGCCUCUGUCCGCUUUCCGUGCAAACCACCGCCCAGCCGUGCAUGUUCCAGCAGCCCUGUUUCGCCAUCCUAGCAGCUUCCUCAGCCCGUGCCAGAGCUGUCUCGCCUCCGUUCGACUUCCGUUCUUAGGUGGUGUUGGCGAAGACUGGAAGCCCCAAAGUUUAAGAGGCGAAGCCUGAAGAAUUGACGACCUUGUCCGGCUAGCUAGUAGUAGGGCAAUUCUCUUUUGUAGGGAGCCGAUUCCUUUUGCAAACCUUUGUAUAUAGACCUAUGUGUUUAUAAAAAGGUAUUUUGUGAAAAAUUAAUUCUACUUUCUUAUCC